UUCGGUGGCCACAGCGGUGGGGUCACACCCGAUCCCAUUUCGAACUCGGUCGUUAAGCCCACCUGCGCCGAUGGUACUGCACGGUUUCGUGUGGAAGAGUAGGGCGCUGCCGGAU
rnacentral:rRNA from 1 species